rnacentral:rRNA from 1 species
AGUCUUUCUGCCCAUUGUUUUUAAAAGGCUGCGGUAUAUUAACUGUACAAAGGUAGCAAAAUAAAUAGUUUUUUAAUUGAAAACUUGAAUGAAAGAGUUGAUAAAAUAUAAUUUGUCUUAAAUAUUGAAUUUAAAUUAAAAGUAAAAAUGCUUUUAUAUUUUUAUUAGACGAUAAGACCCUAAGAAUUUUAUUAUUUAUUUUAUUUUUAUAAAUUUUUAAAAAAUAAAUAAUUUUAUUGGGAGGGUAAAUAAAUUGAACUUUAAUUUAAUUAAAUAUUUUUUGAUAAGUUUAAUGAUUAUUAUUAAGAUUAUAAGGAUUAAUUACCUUAGGGAUAACAGCGUAAUAAUUUUGGAGAGUUCAUAUUGAUAAAAUUGUUUGCGACCUCGAUGUUGAAUUAAAAUAAAAAUUGGAUGAAGAAAUUCAAAUUUUUAGUCUGUUCGACUAUUAAAAUUUUAC